rnacentral:lncRNA from 1 species
UGUUGUAAAAUAUCAACUUGAAUAUGAGACUAGCCCCGAAUUAACAAGAGUUUAAACAUCUCUCCCCCUUUUUUUUUCUAAAUUUAACAGGAAUAAGUGAUUACUCUGUUUAUUAUUUCUACAUGUUUGGAAAAAGAAAUGCAUAAACUAAUGUCUACAUAUGUUUACAAAUAAAUUCCCUAACAACUGUGAGGGGCACUUUGUUUCUGACUCAUUGUAACUAUAAAAUUUAUUUACCGUCAACAUCGAUUGUCAAAACAAUUAAGUAUGCUCAUGGCUGCAACUCACUAUUUGUUGUCUAAACCAUUCCUCCUUUUCCCAAACCAUUUUUCCUUUCUAUUCCCACUAGAGAUGGAGGGUAAAGUUGCUGGUCUAUUGACAAGAAUCUAGUUUAGGACCCUGCAAUGAUUCACUUGGGUGUGGAAUUAUUUCCCUUGAAAAGCAACCAGGGAGUGCUAAGACGGUGAAGUAAUAAUUACUUCCUUCUGCAGCAAUGGUUUAGGGAAAAGCCCGAAGACAUAUGGGCUGAAUAUUUAGCAGACAGUGAUAAUGGUGAGGUCACAGAUAUGACUCUGUGGGAUGCUGGCAAAGCAGUAUUGCCGGAAAAUUGAUUGAAAUCUUUGCCCAAAAGAACAGGGAAAGGCAACUACAAAUACCAGAGUUAGGGGCUAAAAUUAGGAGCCUCCAAAAGGAGCAUAUUAAGAAGGGUAAGGCUAAAACUAAUUGAUUUAGAAAAACGCCAAGGGGAAACUUAAUAGGAUUCUAAAUGAGAGAGUGGAGUAUCUAAUAAAGCGCAGCAAGACCGAGAUUCCCUCCCAUGGCAAUAAAGCAGAUACUAUCUUGGCCUGCUAACUUAGAGGGAGAACACAAUUGAGACUAAUUAGGGAAAUUAAGGGACAAAAGGGCCCUCCUCAAACCCCAGAGAAACGGGAACCUGCAUUGUUCCUUAUUAUUCUUUCUGAGGCACAGAGCCAUGAAAGCUUUGUGUUGUGUUAAAGUUUCUGGACUCCAUUGAUCAUGGUAAACUCUAGCCCUCGCCAUCCAAUGUGAUGCUUCUAGCUUUAUACACGUGUGGAAUUCUAGUGUCUUCACAUGAAUAUUAUGCAGAGUUUGGGGCAGAGUGUAAACAAGCAAUAGAAUGUUCUGGAAAAGCCGAUGGAGUGGGAAAAGCUGUGUCUCUUAAUACUACUAACAUUAUGUUUGUGGUAUAAUUCUCUUAAAUUCCCACAUAAAAAUCAACCUCCCGUGCUUCUUUCUGCUUUUAAGAAAAACAGCCAUUGAGCUACGUUCUCCAAACUAUCACCAAAAUACAGAAAGCUUGACUUUUUUUACUUACUCGGCUUGAAUCUGGGGUGUUGUGUAAAUUAUGUCUUUGCCUCACCUGUCCCAAUUUUGACCUUACGUCAAGAAAAUAUUUCUAUUUCUAUUACCGUUGAAGGUUUCUAGAAACAAUGAUCUUAAUUUAUCUUGAAUUAUUUGUCUUUGAGGUAUGUAAAAUGUGCUGGGUUUUCCACUGUGAAAAAAAAAUUUCCUAUUUCUUUCUGGCAUUAAUAAUAUCAAUUGCUAUUGAUAAAGAACAUAUGUGCUUUAUUUAUAACUACAAAUUAAAGGCAUUUCUUUGACUAUUUGAAUACUUUGUACCUUUAACUUCUUUAAUAUGAGAAAAAUCAUUAGUAUGUAAUAGGGUUUUAGAAAGAUACACGAUUUUUCAUUUUCACUAAUAAAAGAAGGUAGAGCAAAGACUUUCCAGGCUCUGUCCUGUGAGGGCUGAUUGGGGGAGGUUUUGGUGCAGAAUUCAUUUGACUAUAGUUAGCCUGCGUCUGUGUAGCUGAAGGAAUUGAUGCCCGUAGGGAAUGGUCUUGCUGUCUACUCUGCUACUUCCCUGGUAUCAUAUGGCCUCCCUCCCAGUUUUAGAUCCUCAAAGGACUAAAACCACAAAAAUCGUUUUAUUGACAGGUUUUUCUUUUUCCAAAGAUUUCAAGGAUGUUAUAAAAUCAAAGGCCUAGAUAUGAAAGAAAGCUGGUCAUUCAUCCAUAUGCAUUGCAUCUCACAAAGGUGAAAUGCACGCCUUCUAAGAAUAAUUGGAGCAAAGGUGCUAACAGGUACAAACCUUAGAAGUUGGCGAUCCUAUCAGCGCGUUUUGUUUACGUUCCAUUACGUGACUCAUGCACUUCAUCAAACUACUGGAUACUCAAGUUACAGAAGACAAUGGCUUAUUGUGACUAUCUU